GGCCUGAUAGUUCAGUGGUAGAAUUCUUGCUUUGGGUCAAAUUGUAAGAGGUCUCCGGUUCAAUCCCGGAUUAGGCCC
rnacentral:tRNA from 2 species